rnacentral:rRNA from 1 species
UACGUAGGGACCAAGCGUUGUUCGGAUUUACUGGGCGUAAAGGGCGCGUAGGCGGCUUGACAAGUCACUUGUGAAAUCUCCGGGCUUAACUCGGAACGGCCAAGUGAAACUGUCAUGCUAGAGUGCAGAAGGGGCAAUCGGAAUUCUUGGUGUAGCGGUGAAAUGCGUAGAUAUCAGGAGGAACACCUGAGGUGAAGACGGGUUGCUGGGCUGACACUGACGCUGAGGCGCGAAAGCCAGGGGAGCAAACGGG